rnacentral:lncRNA from 1 species
CGCCUCCUUCUGGACGCUUGCUAUGUGACGCCACUUGGAAGGGACCCAGUAAGGGAUCUGUUGCGCCACAGGGGUCUCCAGGGCCCUCGCAGGUUGGGGUGGUCUGAGCUAGUCUGAAGGAGGACAGUCAGCUGACUUCUCCUUUAUCUCUCUUUCCCAGGAUAGCAGGUUCCCUUGGUGUAUUACAGUUUCUGAAGUGUUGAUUCCCUUUUCAAUUGAUUCCACAGAUGACAGUCCUGACGUUUAAAAAAUUGCCAGAUAACCUUUAAUUUUUUUUUUUUUAACAGAACACAAACUUAAGCCAGAUUGCCUAGGAUUGAACCUUGGCCUCUCACUUCCUAGACGAGUGGCCUUGGCUAGUUAACCACCUUCGUGAGCCUCAGUUUUGUCAUCUGUAAAAUGGGAGUCAUAAGUGUCUACCUCACAGAGCUGUGAUUGAAAGGAUAAAUAGCACCUUGCACAUAGCGGUGUAGAAGUGCUUGUUAUUGUUAAUAUUUUAUUUACCUUCACGCAGGUAACAGCCACAACAUCUGCCCACUCUUCCCCACACCUUACUGUCCCUUGAAAUGUUUCCCAUUUUACUAUAGUAUGCAUUUUUUGGCUUCUUCCCUUUAGGGAAAUGAGUAUGUGAUAGUAAAGCGUGUCUUGGUUUAUGUCCUAGGAGUCAGAAGCUAAGAGACUCCUUUUUGUGCUUGUACAUUUGUCUUAACUGAAAAUAACCCAAGGAUAAGGAAACAAAUAGCUUCCUGAAAUUACUCGGAUUGCGGGGGUGAGGGGUGAGGGCUGGGGGGUGGUGAUUCUGUCUUCAUAGGAUGGCAGCAAAGGCCAAAGUCUUAUUUGAGUUAUUACCAUUAUUAUUCACCACACUUGCCAUCUUAUUUCAAGCCUACAGUGGCGGAAGUGGAGUAAGACAUCAUGUUGCCUCAAGUUUAAUUGGAAAUCGCGUGCCUUGUGAAGAAUGGACACUCAGUAGAUGCUUAUUGAUGAACCUGUUGGUUGAGGAUAACUCGCUAACUUUUCUGAGCUUUGUUGGAAAAACUCAGGUCACUGUAUCUCUAUGCAUUACAGAAAAUGGCUAGUUAAAAACUUGUCAAGAUUAUGAAUGAGUGCAUCCAAAAGUAAUCACUGGAAUUGCUGUUCAUUGUGGGCUUCCCAGCAUUCUCCUCUGGGCAUUUAUAUCAAAUAACUUAUGAGUGAUGCAGAAUUAGUAUUCACCGGUCAGACAUUGAUUAUUUAGAAUUCCCUCUGAUUUGAAUUACAUCUACUGUUUUUUUCUCCCAUCCAUUUAUGGGUCAAAUGUACAAUAAGCCAAAACAUGUUGAUUCUGGUGAAAUUUAGCAGAGAAAAACAGCUUCACCUAGUGGCCACAGAAACUCGAAAAGCUUUACUGAAAAGAAAUAAAUUGGAUAUCUUCUCAUCCUGGAUAUGAACUGGAUUCCAACUUAACCUUCCAACUGUUUUGCUGUUUCUCUGAAGUCUGAACCUUGUGUAUGGCAAUACUUAUCUCAAGCAAAAAUAUAGUUUCACAUUGGUAGUACUGUAUUCAGGAAAACUGGAAAUUGUACUAUGAAGGAGCACUUCUACCACAUCCGUAUCUAAGUCUACAUUCACAGCUGCUGGAAACAGAUAUUGUAUUCAUACUAUGGUGGGAAACACAUAAUGUAUGUAUGUAUACACAUGUGUGCACACAUAUAUAUGCUAGCGUAUAAUCUGGAAAAAUUUUGCUAAGAUAUAUAGGAAGAGAACCUUUUUAUUCAGAAUAUUGAACAAGUAGGACUCAUAGUGUAAAAUUAAGAAAAAUUAUUUUUCUUCUACUGCCCUUUCUAUGGAUUUGGUUCUUCCUCUUCCCCUGAAUGUAAACUUAAGCAGUCUUCUAUGCAUUUUGUGUUCAUUCCUAAAUAUUAGAAAUAGUUAUUUGAUUAUUUAGCCUUUAGUCUCAGUUUAAUAACCAAAAUAUGAGGUUAAAAUUUAAUUCUGGCUACAGAAUUAAGGCUUCUCUCUCCUGCCGCACUUCCAGGCCAGUUGCAGGCAUGAUACCAGCAGUCUGGGAGGUAGAGACAAGAGGACACAUCUCUGCUGCUCCCUUCUUUCCCCAUGGUUAUGCGCCAACUUUGGUUUCACCAGGCCUACAGUGCUUCCCAGGUUUGGAGUGUGGGGAAGGAGAAGAUUUAAUGGAAGCAGCUUAAGGGAAAUGCUCAAACUAAACUGAUACUUUCUUCAUGAUCUAGCAUUGAAACUUUCUGGACUUGACAGAUAUUUAAAAUUAACUCUUUUUCUCAUUAACAUUUUCAUGGGUUCUUCCAAGAUCCACAUUACCCAACCUGUGGGUUCCCAUGACAAGGAUUAAGGCAUCUCUGUUUCUUCUGGACCUUUAUUUACCUGGAUUCUUUCUCUAGGGACUGUUUACCCUUAUGGGCCAUCCUUUUGAGCAUAACCUAACAAGAUUCAUGCUGGCUUUAAGUGAGUGGUCCACAUUUGGUUCAUGGGAAAACCACAUAGUUUGUCCCCAGCAAACCUGGAAGUAAUAUUUAUUUUACUGCUGGAAUUAAGGAAAACCAAAAAUCCUAUUACAAAAUGGCUCCUCUAAACAUUCACAUUACCCCUUUUUGUCUCUACCCCCUGAGGAACUAACCAACUCUAGCUCUUUGGAUUUUCCAAAUGAGAGGUCAACACAUCGAUGUCUCCAAGACCUUAAGUUCUUCUAGUGGUCUCUUUAAGCUUCCUCCCUUGAAUUAUGGUGAAAAGGGACUGCCUGCUACCCCCUCCUCUUGAGGAGAGGGGUGGUAUCACAGCCUAACAAUAAUUUCCAAAAAUUUUCUCCUCCAGCUCUAAUGCUUAACCAGUUUAGACUUUCAAAGUGGAUAAUGUAAUUUAAAGCCUUACAGCUAGUUAUGCUCUACUUCUUCUAUAAGUCCUGCAACCAGGUGGUCUCAAUCCUCACUUGCGAAUACUGCAUUUACUCACCUUGUGCCCUAGCCAAAACUUCCACAACAAAUUCUGUGGUGCAUUUAAGUGAAAGAUGUUAUUUGAUUGAUAGAGAGAUAGAUAGAUAGAUACAGAUAUAGAUAUAGAUAUGUAUUAGAACCAUGUCAAAUGGUUAACUUUUUUAAAAAGGUAAAUUUUUUAUAUUGAGAUAAUUAUAGAUUCUCAUACACUCGUAAGAAAUAACACAGAAAGAUCCCAUGUAGCCUUUAUCCAGUUUCCCCAGUGAUAAUAUCUUGCAAAACUAUAGUCCAAUAUCACAACCAAGAUACUGGCAUUGAUAGAUCACUUCCAUCACCACAAACAUCCCUCAUGUUGCCCUUUUAUAGCCACACUCAUUUCCCUCCUGCUGCCACCCUCUCCUUUACCCAUAACCACUUAUCUGUUCUCUAUUUUUGUAAUUUUAUCAUUUCAAGAAUACUGUAGAAAUGGAAUAAUACAGUAUGUAUUUUAGGGCUUAUCUUUUCUACACUCGGCAUGAUUCUCUGGAGAUUCAUCCAGGUUGUUGCAUGUAUCAAUAGUUCAUUCCUUUUUUACUGCUGAACAGUAUUCCAUUGUAUGUAUGUACCAUAGUUUAACUAUUUGCUCAAUGAAAGACAUAUAUUAAUAGUUUCCAGUUUUUGCUGUUAUGAAUAAAGCUACUAUAAACAUUCAUGUACAGGUUUUUGUAUUAAUGCAAGUCUUCAUUUCUUUGGAAGAGAUGACUGAAGUUCAAUUACUGGGUUACGUGGUAGUUGCAUAUUUCUUUUUUAAAGAAACUGCCAAACUGUUUUUCAGAGCAUCUGUAUCAUUUUAUAUUCUCACCAGCAACGUAUCAAUGACCUAGUUUCUCUACAUCCUUUCUAGCCUUAAUUGUCUUUGUUUUUUUAUUUUACUUUGUUUGUUUGUUUUGAGACAGGGUCUUUCUCUGUUGCCCAGGCUGGAAUUCAGUAGUGUAAUCAAGGCUCACUGAAGCCUGACCUCCCGGCUGAAGUGAACUGCCCACCUCAGUGCUGGAAGUAGGGUGGGGCGUCAGCCACCAGUAGCAGGACUGUAGGCAUCUGCCACCAUGCCUGGCUGAUUUCUCUUUUUUCUUUUUGCAGAGAUGGGGUUUUACUAUGUUGGAGAAGCUGGUCUCAAACUCCUGGGCUCAAGUCAUCCUCCCGCCUCAGCCUCCCAAAGUGCUGAGAUUACAGACGUGUGCCUGGCCUAUUUUACUCGUUUUAAUAGAUGUUGAGGGCUCAUGACACUCCUGGUGGCCAUAUACGCAGAGGUCAGGGAGAGAAAGGGACCUGUGGGCCAGCACCCUUAUUGGGUCCAGAGAGCUAUCCAAACAAGUUUCCAGCAGGGAAUUUAAUUGGUGGAUUUAAAGCAAGCAGGCAUGAGUUCCAGGGGGCCACACUGACUGAGGUAUGUAUGUAUGUACCAUAGUUUAACUAUUUGCUCAAUGAAAGACAUAUAUUAAUAGUUUCCAGUUUUUGCUGUUAUGAAUAAAGCUACUAUAAACAUUCAUGUACAGGUUUUUGUAUUAAUGCAAGUCUUCAUUUCUUUGGAAGAGAUGACUGAAGUUCAAUUACUGGGUUACAUGGUAGUUGCAUAUUUCUUUUUUGCACACUGACAGAGAGGUAGUCACUAUGGCAUGUCUGAAUAGUUCGUUCCGUGUGUGAGUAUCAGCAGGGCCAGUCAAGCAGCCUGCAUCUAGCCACCACCUAGUGAAGUAGUCACCAGAGAGCAGUUGUAUAAGGCAGAUAUCUGGAUCCACCACAUUGAGGAACUGGGGGAAGGGAGCACCAAACCGAAAACUGUGUCCAAGGUGACGGAGUCCUGCCUCUGGUGUGAGAAAGCCCAGCUUAUAUUUAAAGUGGAUGCCAAAGCAAUAUAAAAUUAUAGGAAUUCAUUACCAAACUGAUAGCUUGUGGUUUUAAUUUGCAUUUCCCCAAUGAAUAAUGAUGUUGAGCAUCAUUUCAUGUGUUUAUUUGGCAUCUGUGUUACUGUGUGCAUGAAAUAUGUCUUCAUGUCUUUUGUCCAUGUUCUAAUUGGAUUUUCUCAUACUGUUGAGUUUUGAAAAUUUUUUAUAUAUUCCAUAUACUAGUCCUUUGUUGGAUAUGUGGUUUUCAAGUAUUUUCUCCCAGUCCGUAGCUUACCUUUUUGCCCUCUUAACAGAGUCUUUCACAAAAUGUGUUUUUUUUUUCUUUUUUUUUGAAACAGAGUCUCAGUCUGUCACCCAAGCUGGAGUGCAGUGGUGUGAUCUUGGCUCACUGCAACCUCCACUUCCCGGGUUCAAGUAAUUCUCCUGCUUCAGCCUUCCGAGUAGCUGGGAUUACAGGCUCCCACCACCACAACUGGCUAAUUUUUGUAUUUUUAGAAGAGAC